rnacentral:rRNA from 1 species
GACGAACGCUGGCGGCGUGCUUAACACAUGCAAGUCGAACGGAAAGGCCUGCUUUCCCUUGUGGAUUGCGGGUACUCGAGUGGCGAACGGGUGAGUAACACGUGAGUGAUCUGCCCCCAACUUGGGUAUAAGCCUGGGAAACUGGGUCUAAUUCCCGAUAGGACUGCAGGGUGGUGCCUGUGGUGGAACACGAUUUUCUAGUGGUUGGGGAUGAGCUCGCGGCCUAUCAGCUUGUUGGUGGGGCAAUGGCCGACCAAGGCGGCGACGGGUAGCCGGCCUGGGAGGGGGGACGGCCAGAUUGGGACGCGGAUACGGCCCAGACUCCUAGGGGAGGCAGCGGUGGGGAAGAUUGGACAAUGGGCGGAAGCCUGAGGCAGCGACGCAGCGUGGGGGAUGACGGCCUUCGGGUUGUAAACUCCUUUCGACCGCGAGGAAGCCACCUGGUUGGAAGGGUGGUGACGGUAGUGGUAGAAGAAGCACCGGCUAACUACGUG